rnacentral:rRNA from 1 species
AUACGGAGGGAGCAAGCGUUAUUCGGAAUCACUGGGCGUAAAGGACGCGUAGGCGGGUUUGUAAGUCAGGUGUGAAAUCCUACAGCUCAACUGUAGAACUGCACUUGAAACUACAGACCUAGAGUAUGGAAGGGGCAGAUGGAAUUAGUGGUGUAGGGGUAAAAUCCGUAGAUAUCACUAGGAAUACCGAAAGCGAAGGCGAUCUGCUGGGACAUUACUGACGCUGAGGCGUGUAAGCGUGGGGAGCAAACAGGAUUAGAAACCCUAGUAGUCC